UCCGGAGGAUGCAAGCGUUAUCCGGAAUUAUUGGGCGUAAAGCGUCCGUAGGUGGUUGGCCAAGUCUGCUGUCAAAGGGUGGGGCUUAACCUCAUAAAGGCAGUGGAAACUGGCGAGCUAGAGUGCGGUAGGGGUAGGGGGAAUUCCCAGUGUAGCGGUGAAAUGCGUAGAGAUUGGGAAGAACAUCGGUGGCGAAAGCGCCCUGCUGGGCCGGCACUGACACUGAGGGACGAAAGCUAGGGGAGCGAAAGGG
rnacentral:rRNA from 1 species